rnacentral:rRNA from 1 species
GAUGAACGCUAGCGGCAGGCCUAAUACAUGCAAGACGAACGGUAAGUUGAGUAGCAAUACUUAGCCAAGAGUGUCGUACGGGUGCGUAACACGUAUGCAACCUACCCUAUACAGGAGGAUAGCCUAGGGAAACCUGGAUUAACCCUUCAUAGUAUUAUUGGAUGGCAUCAUUUGAUAAUUAAAACUGAGGUGGUAUAGGAUGGGCAUGCGUCUGAUUAGUUAGUUGGCGGGGUAAUGGCCCACCAAGACGAUGAUCAGUAGGGGGUUCUGAGAGGAAGAUCCCCCACACUGGCACUGAGAUACGGGCCAGACUCCUACGGGAGCAGCAGUAGGGAAUAUUGGUCAAUGGAUGCAAGUCUGAACCAGCCAUGCCGCGUGCAGGAAGAAGGGCCUUCUAGGGGUUGUAAACUGCUUUUGCCAGGGGGAUAAAAUUUCCAUGCGUGGAAAAC